ACUUCUUCGGACAAUAUACAAGGUGCUGCAUGGUUGUCGUCAGCUCGUGCCGUGAGGUGUCGGGUUAAGUCCCGCAACGAGCGCAACCCCUGUUUCUAGUUACCAGCACGUAAUGGUGGGGACUCUAGAGAGACUGCCGGUGACAAACCGGAGGAAGGUGGGGAUGGACGUCAAGGUCAUCAUGGCCCUUAUGUCCUGGGCUACACACGUGCUACAAUGGCCGGUACAGAGCGCAGCGAUACCGCGAGGUGGGAGCAAAUCGCAAGAAAGCCGGUCUCAGUACGGAUUGGAGUCUGAAACCCGACUUCAUGAAGGUGGAAUCGCUAGUAAUCGCGCAUCCAGCAUGGCGCGGUGAAUACGUUCCCGGGCCUU
rnacentral:rRNA from 1 species